UCCAGCCAUGCCGCGUGUGUGAAGAAGGCCCUCGGGUUGUAAAGCACUUUCAGCGAGGAAGAACGCCUAACGGUUAAUACCCGCUAGGAAAGACAUCACUCGCAGAAGAAGCACCGGCUAACUCCGUGCCAGCAGCCGCGGUAAUACGGAGGGUGCAAGCGUUAAUCGGAAUUACUGGGCGUAAAGCGCGCGUAGGUGGCUUGAUAAGCCGGUUGUGAAAGCCCCGGGCUCAACCUGGGAACGGCAUCCGGAACUGUCAAGCUAGAGUGCAGGAGAGGAAGGUAGAAUUCCCGGUGUAGCGGUGAAAUGCGUAGAGAUCGGGAGGAAUACCAGUGGCGAAGGCGGCCUUCUGGACUGACACUGACACUGAGGUGCGAAAGCGUGGGUAGCAAACAGGAUUAGAUACCCUGGUAGUCCACGCCGUAAACGAUGUCGACCAGCCGUUGGGUGCCUAGCGCACUUUGUGGCGAAGUUAACGCGAUAAGUCGACCGCCUGGGGAGUACGGCCGCAAGGUUAAAACUCAAAUGAAUUGACGGGGGCCCGCACAAGCGGUGGAGCAUGUGGUUUAAUUCGAUGCAACGCGAAGAACCUUACCUACUCUUGACAUCCUGCGAAUUUGGUAGAGAUACCUUAGUGCCUUCGGGAACGCAGAGACAGGUGCUGCAUGGCUGUCGUCAGCUCGUGUUGUGAAAUGUUGGGUUAAGUCCCGUAACGAGCGCAACCCUUGUCCUUAUUUGCCAGCGCGUAAUGGCGGGAACUCUAAGGAGACUGCCGGUGACAAACCGGAGGAAGGUGGGGACGACGUCAAGUCAUCAUGGCCCUUACGAGUAGGGCUACACACGUGCUACAAUGGUCGGUACAAAGGGUUGCCAACUCGCGAGAGUGAGCCAAUCCCGAAAAGCCGAUCUCAGUCCGGAUCGGAGUCUGCAACUCGACUCCGUGAAGUCGGAAUCGCUAGUAAUCGUGGAUCAGAAUGCCACGGUGAAUACGUUCCCGGGCCUUGUAC
rnacentral:rRNA from 1 species